CCUACGGGUGACAGCAGUGGGGGAUAUUGGACAAUGGGGGGAACCCUGAUCCAGCGACGCCGCGUGAGUGAAGAAGUAUUUCGGUAUGUAAAGCUCUGUCAGCAGGGAAGAAAAAAAUGACGGUACCUGACCAAGACGCCCCGGCUAACGACGUGGCAGCCGCCGCGGUAAUACGUAGGGGGCAGGCGUUAUCCGGAAUUACUGGGUGUAAAGGGGGCGUAGACGGCAGAGUAAGUCUGAAGUGAAAGGCCGGGGCGUAACCACGGAACUGCUCUGGAAACUGUGCAACUUGAGUGCAGGAGAGGUAAGCGGAAUUCCUAGUGUAGCGGUGAAAUGCGUAGAUAUUAGGAGGAACACCAGUGGCGAAGGCGGCUUACUGGACUGUAACUGACGUUGAGGCUCGAAAGCGUGGGGAGCAAACAGGAUUAGAUACCCCGGUAGUC
rnacentral:rRNA from 1 species